rnacentral:rRNA from 1 species
AGUGAACGCUGGCGGUGGGCCUAACACAUGCAAGUCGAACGAGUGGCGGACGGGCGAGGAAUUCAUCGGAAUCUGCUCUGCCGAGGGGGCUAACGUGGGGAAACUUACGCUAAUACCGCAUACGGUUGUAUGAGCCGAUGUGGGAUUAGCUAGUUGGCGGGGUAAAGGCCCACCAAGGCGACGAUCCGUAGCUGGUCUGAGAGGAUGAUCAGCCACACUGGAACUGAGACACGGUCCAGACUCCUACGGGAGGCAGCAGUGGGGAAUAUUGGGCAAUGGGCGCAAGCCUGAUCCAGCAAUACCGCGUGAGUGAAGAAGGCCUUCGGGUUGUAAAGCCCUUUUGUUGGGAAAGCGGUACCCAAAGAAUAAGCAACGGCUAACUUCGUGCCAGCCGCCGCGGUAAUUC